CCCUUAGAUGUUCUGGGCCGCACGCGCGCUACACUGACGAAGUCAGCGAGCAUGUCCUACGCCGACAGGUGCGGGGAAUCUUGUCAAACUUCGUCGUGAUGGGGAUUGAUUAUUGAAAUUCUUGAUCAUCAACGAGGAAUUCCUAGUAAGCGCAAGUCAGCAGCUUGCGUUGAUUACGUCCCUGCCCUUUGUACACACCGACCGUCGCUACUACCGAUUGAAUGGUUUAGUGAGAUCUUCGGAUUGGCGCCACUGCGGCUCAGCAAUGGGCUCGGUGGAUGCCGAAAAGUUGAUCAAACUUGAUCAUUUAGAGGAAGUAAAAGUCGUAACA
rnacentral:rRNA from 1 species